GCACUACUGAAGAGUCCCAAAAUAGGACGAAACGGUCGGCUGUCCAGUAC
rnacentral:hammerhead_ribozyme from 1 species